rnacentral:rRNA from 1 species
UACGUAGGCAGCAAGCGUUGUUCGGAGUUACUGGGCGUAAAGGGUGUGUAGGCGGUUGCUUAAGUUUGGUGUGAAAUCUUCCGGCUCAACUGGGAGGGUGCGCCGAAUACUGAGUGACUCGAGUGCGGGAGAGGAAAGUGGAAUUCCUGGUGUAGCGGUGAAAUGCGUAGAUAUCAGGAGGAACACCGGUGGUGUAGACGGCUUUCUGGACCGUAACUGACGCUGAAACACGAAAGCGUGGGUAGCAAACAGG